rfam:Glycine soja cultivar W05 scaffold1247_20, whole genome shotgun sequence.
AAUAGACGGGACAAAGGAUCGUGAUCCCACAAGGGUGAGCUAACUCCAAAAACUCAUCCUCAGUUUGGAUUGUAGGCUGCAACUCGCUUGCAUGAAG